UUGUUUUCUCUAAGAUCUGAUAGGCCUAUGCAUCUGAUUGCAAUAUCAUACUCUGAUCAAAGUUUGCGCUUCACAAUACACCGAAACUACUUGAUUUAGCAGUGCGGCUUAGUUAGACAGAUGUUCAGAUGUGAUGAGAUUAACUCAUCUGAAUGGAUUAGGUGUGUAAAUGAAAUACACUUGAGUUUGUAAUCAUUCCCAUCAUGCAAAAGCUAAAGAGGCCGAGUAACUGUUGGAUUGGGCUUUUUUCUCCCCGUGUUGCCUCACUCCGACCAUCUGCUGCGUGCGAGCACUAUAUCGAUCAGAAUCAGUGCGCCUCGGACCCCAUGAUGACCGUGCCGUUACUGGCCGCCAGUUUCUGCAUCUGUUCCCAGCUCUCGGCCCCGUGACCUUUAACCCUCGACACUUUCACCUCAGUGUGUCCAUGAAAGACACGCGGACAACAGCAGAUUCUUCAGUCCUCUUAUAUGUGUCAGACUAAAUUAAGAGAAUAUAUAACAGAAAAAUGUGUGUACUAAUAAACGAGUGAACGCAAAAGUUA